UGUAGGUGGUGACAAGCAGAACGUUCUCAGCUUUCAGCAGUCAAAUCAUGCCGUAAAGAGGGAAGAUUCAGCAUGAGCUUGAGACACAUGGCUGUUUUCCCACCUGCUUUGUCUCACUGAUGGUCAUGGGAAGGUUGAAGCCGACUCCAGCUGUCACCCGGUGGGAGUCCGAUUCCAUUUCCCCCAUCCAUCAGUGAAAACAGAAGGAACUCCUUCUGAUUGCCUCCAUCACUGAGUUGAGGCCUGAUGAACCUGCUGUGCUGCGUUCCCAUUUUCCCUCUCAGGCGUCUGAUUAGCGCCGCUCACUCCUCAACAGGAUGAAGCGCUUAAACCCUCACAUUUAUCUGGAGGUCAAGCUUCUUCUGCCCCGUAAAUUGGUUGCCAGCUGGUUUGACCUGCGCUAAUCGUGAUUCAUUAUUGCCCACGCUGCGCCGGAGAGGUCCAUCUCAGCUGUGGGGAGUGGGUGAGCCGAACGGGAGGGGAUGUGAGCGUAGGGGAUGGCCGUGUCAAUCUCUCAGCAUCUAAUGAGGACAGGCAGGAAAACAAACAAGACGGACAACCUGCGAGAGACCUGCCUCUCCACCUGAAGGUCCACAAGGAGGGAGGAGCAGCUUCAGCAUCGCUGCUCAUCUCCUCAAUCCAGCUAAAAAGAAGCACAUUUUCAAAGUCAAAACACUCUAAUUUUUUAGUCUCUGACCAACAAACUGUUGUUCUUUCGUUUUUAUGAGUACACGUGGUUUGUGUCAACAUGGUAUCUCAGU